CGCGCUCCGCCCAGCGAUCGCCUCCUUCCCAGCGCACACGCCGGUCGUCACAACACGGGCACCAAAACAGAGCCAAGUCUCCAGGUGGAGCCUGCGCGCGCAAGAAGGACCGUUACUAGACCCGGGGGGGGGGGGGGCGAGACGAAAAUGUGGUUCCUCAGACUUUGUCUCCUGAACCCCAGCUGGAGAUGAUUCUCAAAGAAGAGGAAAAAGAUAAAAAUGAGUAACAGAAGCCCCAGAUCACCUCUCUCCCCUCUUCUCUACUCACAGCAUCAACACCACUUGAAAGAAAAGGAAGCAUCAUUGAACUGGGGGUGGGGUCCUGGCUGACAAGAAUCCAACUAGACUGCUGUAAGCAUGUGAUGUCCUGGCUUGUUCCACCAUUCUGGCUGAUGGUGCUGCCCAAGUAUGUGAAUGUUUCUACAUUGGUGAGAACAUAAUCCUCUAUCCAUACUGGUGAUGGUGAGGCAAUAUUAAAGGUCAUGAUAUCUGU